rnacentral:lncRNA from 1 species
AUGGAAACUUGCAAAUAUAAAGAGAAUAAAAAGGGAGAAAAUUCAGAAAAGCCUAGCAUACCUUCCUCAUUAGUAUCAUUACCCUCUGGGGUACUAGUGCUAGUUGGCGCUGAUUCUUCAGGCACAGAAGCAGGUGGAGCCGAUGCAGGCAAAUUAUUCUCUGCUUUCUUAUGAAAUAGAGAAGCAAAAACCUCCAUGUGA